CCUACGGGUGGCUGCAGUGGGGAAUAUUGGACAAUGGGCGAAAGCCUGAUCCAGCCAAGCCGCGUGUGUGAAGAAGGCCUUCGGGUUGUAAAGCACUUUCAGUGGGGAAGAAAGCCUUGGGGCUAAUACCCUCGAGGAAGGACAUCACCCACAGAAGAAGCACCGGCUAACUCCGUGCCAGCAGCCGCGGUAAUACGGAGGGUGCGAGCGUUAAUCGGAAUUACUGGGCGUAAAGCGCGCGUAGGCGGUCUGAUAAGCCGGUUGUGAAAGCCCCGGGCUCAACCUGGGAACGGCAUCCGGAACUGUCAGGCUAGAGUGCAGGAGAGGAAGGUAGAAUUCCCGGUGUAGCGGUGAAAUGCGUAGAGAUCGGGAGGAAUACCAGUGGCGAAGGCGGCCUUCUGGACUGACACUGACGCUGAGGUGCGAAAGCGUGGGUAGCAAACAGGAUUAGAUACCCCAGUAGUC
rnacentral:rRNA from 1 species